rnacentral:rRNA from 1 species
AUUGAACGCUGGCGGCAUGCCUUACACAUGCAAGUCGAACGGCAGCGCGGGGCAACCUGGCGGCGAGUGGCGAACGGGUGAGUAAUAUAUCGGAACAUACCCUAGAGUGGGGGAUAACGUAGCGAAAGUUACGCUAAUACCGCAUACGCACUAAGGUGGAAAGUGGGGGAUCUUCGGACCUCAUGCUCAUGGAGUGGCCGAUAUCUGAUUAGCUAGUUGGUGAGGUAAAGGCUCGCCAAGGCGACGAUCAGUAGCUGGUUUGAGAGAACGACCAGCCACACUGGAACUGAGACACGGUCCAGACUCCUACGGAGGCAGCAGUGGGGAAUUUUGGGACAAUGGGGGCAACCCUGAUCCAGCAAUGCCGCGUGAGUGAAGAAGGCC